GACAGCAUAUUGUGCUGGCCUCCUACGCCAAACAACACAUCAGCAGUCCUGCCAUGUCCGACGCAUUUCAACGAAAUCGUUUACGACUCCACAAAAAAUGCGACAAGACUCUGCACACCCCAGGGCUGGGCCGAACUCGCCAACUACGCCAGCUGCGUGGAAGCCUCGACAGACAGUACACUGCCACCGGAAGUCGAAAUGGUGGAACUUUCCACCGUCAUCUACUACAUAGGAUACACAAUUAGCUUACUGGCCCUCCUGUUGGCCGUUGUUGUCUUUAUUACAUUCAAAGAUCUCCGAUGUCUUCGCAACACAAUUCAUGCUAAUUUAUUUGUAACCUACAUUAUGUCUAGUUUCUUAUGGAUCUUAGCACUAAGUUUACACAUGGUUACACAUGUAGGACCAGUUGUAUGCAUAUUUAUAGCAAUUCUGCUUCAGUACUUCACUUUAACGAAUUUCUGUUGGAUGCUUGUUGAAGGCUUGUACUUGUAUAUGCUGGUGGUAGAGACAUUUUCCGGAGAUAAUUUGCGUUUCGGCAUGUAUGCUUUCAUUGGAUGGGGGUGUCCCGCUAUUUUUGUCCUUUGUUGGACGAUCGCGAGGGCAGUUGUGGGCGAUGACAGUAUCGAAGGUGCUUUUUCAGGAAAGAAGUUGGAGCUGGAAUGUUCGUGGAUACGAGAAAAGCAAAUUGAUUGGAUAAUUCACGGACCGGCAUUGGCGGUGCUCGCAAUUAAUUUUGUAUUCUUAAUUAGGAUUAUGUGGGUUGUUUAUAAGGUGUUGAUAACGAAACUCAGAUCAGCGAAUACGGCCGAGACGAGGCAAUAUCGUAAAGCAUCCAAAGCACUUCUCGUACUUAUUCCGCUGCUUGGCAUCACCUAUCUGGUCUUGCUUACGGGACCACAGGACGGUGUUUUGCGAUAUAUUUUCGACGUUUGUCGUCCCUUACUACUUAGCACACAGGGUUUUUCAGUAUCACUAUUUUUCUGCUUCUUAAACUCGGAAGUGAGACAAGCUUUGCGUCAUAAAUUUGUGAGAUGGCGAGAUGAACGAAACAUAGGAUUAAGCUCUCGAAACCGAAGAUGCACUCGCGAUUACUCACCUAGAUCACGUACUGAAUCAAUUCGAUUAACAGAUCUUCCGUUGCCACAUACCACCUCAAAUACCUCCGAUACACGACGCUUCAGCGCAAACCAUUUCCAUUAGAUGCCAAAAAUUUAUUUUUUAGCAAGAACUUUAGUUGUGUAAACCUAUGGGCUAUCUAGAAUUAUAGAAAAAAAAACUAAAAAUUGACAAAGCCUAACAAUGACCACACCGAUGCCAUAGCAAACCAGUGUUUAAAUGAAUUUAAUAUAAAUUUAAUAUUAUAUAGUAAUUUUUAUUUUUUCUAAUAUAAACAUAAAAUGCUAAAAAGAAUAUCUCUAGAAAUAACAGAGAGCAGCUGCAAAAAUUUUUCGCCACAGAUAUGUUGCAAUUCGUACAUGAGAACAUUUGCAGUUUGAAAAUUUAAUAAUAUUUAAUACGAAUGAAAAUAUAAAAGAAAGAAGCCACUUUUUUUUGUUUGCUCGCAUAGAAGAAAAUGAUAAAAAUAUUCAAGAAAAUUUAUUGAUCCAAAC